rnacentral:lncRNA from 10 species
GGUUUAUUUGGUAAUCCAGAAGUGGGGAGGCCAGGGGAAGGAACAGUUGUGCUGGGCAGACCCAUCAAGUUCGGCUUAGGAGACGUUAAAGCUGAAAGGAAUGGAGACAGAAAUCACCGGUCAGUCUGGGCAGGGGUAGGGCUGAAGCUCAAGACGUUUUACCGGUGUCACUGGCACACAGUUUGAGAUGUCAAGGCUUGAAGGAUCCUCUCAAAACGAACAUUUCCAACAGAAGUAUCCCACCAGGCUCAGGGCUGGACAACCUUGUAUUCUAAUGAGGACUCAGUCCUAGGUCAGCUCCCAUACUUCCCCUUUCAGCCAAACAACUUCCAGAAGUAUCCCACCAGGCUCAGAGCUGGACAACCUUGUAUUCUAAUGAGGACUCAGUCCUAGGUCAGCUCCCAUACUUCCCCUUUCAGCCAAACAACUUCCAGAAGUAUCCCACCAGGCUCAGGGCUGGACAACCUUGUAUUCUAAUGAAGAUUCAGUCCUGGCUAGCUCCCAUACUUCCCCUUCCAGCCAAACAACUUCCAACACCUUCCUGCCCAAUGUGCCACACCCGCUAGUUCACAUUUUCUUUGCCAAGUACUCCCAGCUACCAUUCACUCUGCCCAACUGCAAUUAGUCUAGAGGCCCCAAAGCUAGCUGUUUCUAGCUGGGGCCCAUUUGCACCAAAGGCCUUCAUCACAAAAAUAGUAUGGCCACGAGGUCCCCAGAGAAGUUAUCUGGAGGAGAGCGGCAACAGGAGAAGAGAGAACGAAGGCAAGAAAGCUAGCACGGCCACAUGAACAAAAACAAAACAGGCUCUACAGGUGUUCCUCCUCUCUGACCUCUGUUGCUGCAGCUGACUGGAUGCUUUCGGAGGGUAGAGAGAAGAUGAUGAAUAGGAAAGUGUGGAGGAAGGGCCUGGGAAGAAAUAAGAACAAUCCAUUCAGGGAAAAUUGCUUCCAUGCCUUGGCCCAGCUGACCUGCUUCAACAAGUCUACUCAACAGUAUAACCGCCUAGGAAUAGGAAUCUGGAAUCUGCGGGAGAAACGACCAUCUUCUUUUCCUGCCCCUGUUUGAAUGAUACACAGGAGGGCCAGUGGGACUGUAGAUGGUUGAGAAACAACCGCAGGAAAAGCAGAAAAGCCAUGUCAGAAGUGGAAUAGCCCAAGAUACUGACACCAAUUCCCAAGACAUCACAACCUACCCGAAGCACCACUGCCUAUGGAUAGCAAAGGUCUGACCAUAUCACCAGGCCCUCAUGGGCUAGAAUCCCAUCCUUGAUCAUACCCCUAAUCUACCACCACUCCCUGCAACGCCUUCACCAACCCGAGAGCCUAAUACCCUCCCUGACCCAUAGCUAUCUCCUGGUUUGAGUCACCAGGUCCAAGGUAAUGCAAGAGGGUGUUGCUACGGAUGGUACUCCAAGCUUCAGGUGUGUUGAGACUAGCAAGAUAGUAGGUAAGGACAGCAUGGGGGUGGGGUGCAGUGUGUGCUGGACGAUGAAAAGCUGAGAAAACAAAGAGGAGGAUCCCACAGGCAACAGCUCUCAGAACACCUCUAUAUUCACCAUAUCCAAGAAACUUGAUGGUAUAUACAUCUCUUCAGAGGACACCAAAAUGCAAAAUCAAAAUCUUACUUCAUCUGGACCUCACCUGCUGGAAAGCUGGGGAAGGAGUUCCAUAACAUGACACUGAGGAAAAAAAAGCAAGAAAAAGCACUCUGAAGCCCAGACUUGGGGGAAGACUGCAGAUUUCUGGCUAUCAUGGUAGUGUUCACCAUCAAAACCCUCAGAUUUCAGACGAAAAGAACAAGACUGCUUCAAAUUGCCAAUCCCAGACAAACAGCUGUUAAUACUGGAUAGCCAAGGAGAAAGGUUCCUUCAGCAUCUCAUCAUGCAGUGUCCUCAGUGCACAUAAGACACCAGAGAAGAUAUGUGUGACUCUACUCAGAAAAGCUUAGUAAAGACUUGUUGGUUAAAUUGGCACAAACAAGACAGAGUAGAUUAUGAGUUCUAAACUUGGGACAUGGCUCUGUCUCCACUAGGCAAUGGGUCUGCUCUCAGUGGGGCAAGGAAGGAAUAUUUAGAGAUUUCCCCAUCCCCAUGGCUCCAGACUUCUAGGAGAAAGAUUCAGGUCAAAAAGCCUUAAACUGUGUGUCUUCAACUGAUGGUCUAUAUAAGAGGUUCAAAUUUUAAGAAACGUUUACGAAUCUCUACUAUUUACCAAGCCUUGCACUAGCCAUGCUAGACACAGUAGCUCAACACACUCACAACUCUGUGACAUCCUUUUUCUGAUCUGUAAGAUCAGAAUCAGGCAAGGUACUUCAUCCCCCCUAGACUUACUCCUACAAAUCUGGAGUCACACUGACCCUGUGGGAUUAUGGUCACACACAUCAGACGUGUGACCCUGGGACUUUCGGUUGAACUCUUGGAACCUCAGCUUUCCAUAACAGAUGGUUAUGAGGAUUAAAUGAAAGACCACAUUGAUAGAAAAAGCUUAGCAUUGGGCCUGACAUAUAAUAGAUGUUUAAUAAACACAAGUUUGUUCCUUCCCUCCCAUUCCAGAUCCGGUGUUUUUGAGAACUGUGUUACGGUCAGGUGAUGAUAACUGGGGCAUGUCUGCUGCCCUGAAUAAAUAAGAGCUUAUCUUUCUAUCUCGAGUCCACUCUAAGUGGUCAGAACUUGAGUAGCACUAAACAUAUACCUGUUGACUGACUGGCUCAUAUUGGGUGUUGUGGAAGGAGCACAUAGCACCUGGGAGCCCAGAGGCCUGGGUGGAAGCUCUGGCUCCUACCCUAGCUUGUUGAAUGGUCUUGACCUCUCUGGCCCUCAGAUUUCUCAUCUGUAAAACAAGCGGAAUAAAUCAUACAUUCUGAUUCUACUUUUUUUUCACAUUACUAUGAUGUGUUAAGCCUUCCCAAGCCCCUCUGCCAGGGUCCUGGGCUGCAGGGGUAAUUAAAUGCUUCUCUAUUUUCCAUAGUUUGUUUUCCUGGCUUAUGUCUAGCUGGCUUUCUGUGACAUGACUUGUCAACACAUAUAAGCAACAACUUCUAUGUCUUAAUGCUUUCUUUUCUUAUUCUCUUUGAAUAAGAAAUGGGGACCAGGAAUGCAGUGGCCUUAUGUUUGGUAAAACACCACUCAAAGUGUAAAAUGUGGAACUAAUUCAACCAGAAACUAAGAUUGCUGUGGGAAGCAGCACAGCUGCUUUAACCCCUGGGAACAGGGACACAUUUUGAAGGCAAGGUAGCAUUAGGAGGGGUUCUCCUUUGGUGAACUGGAACUAAUCAAUUCAGGCCAUUGUGGGGGGAAUUUGCAGACUUAUGUCUAAGCCUAACAGGACCCUGGAGGUGAAGGUCCAAUUUAGCAAAGAUGGCUGGAUCCAGAGAAGAUGUGAGGACAGAGAAGGAGAAACAAGAGAAGUAUGUAGGAAGAACUGCAAAACUCCCUAUUAAGUGAGACUAUAAGAGCAACAAAUAUGUAUGAUUCUCAGUGAUCAGGAGCAAGGAAAAGGAAAUGGGCAAAAGGAAAAAAAAGAGGUGACUGAGGACCUCUGAAAUGUGCAUCAGUAUUUUAACAGAACCACAUUGCCCAAUACAAGAUUCCUGGUCAGUGCACUCAAGUAGAACGGCCAUCUUGUUAAAAACAGCCACUAUUGUUCUGGCUAGAAGAGAACCCCAACAUUAAGGAUCUACCACAUAAGACCUUCUGGUAGUUCUUUUUUUUUUCUUUUUUUGAGACAGUCUCGCUGUGUCACCCAGGCUGGAGUGCAGUGGCACAAUCUCAAACCACUGUCUGCCUCCAGGGUUCAAGCGAUUCUCCUGCCUCAGCCUCCCGAAUAGCUGGGACUAUAGGUGCAUACCACCACACUUGGGUAAUUUUUGUAUUUUUAGUAGAGAUGGGGUUUCACCAUGUUGGCCAGGCUGGUCUCGAUUUCCUGACCUUGUGAUCUGCCCGCCUCGGCCUCCCAAAGUGCUGGGAUUACAGGCAUGAACCACUGCACCCGGCCCUGAUAGCAGUUCUUUUGCCACCGUAGCUCUCUCAAGAAGGCAGGGACCCCAGGUGAGGGCAAAGAGUUGAUUUAAAUGCUCUUGGACCAGUUUUCUUAGGGCAUAAUCCAGAAUUAGCUAGGACUAACUCAGGUGUCUUAUAUUUACAACAAAUAUCUAGACAGGAUCAGCAUUUCCACAAGGACUGAAUGAAAGGGUCUAUGAUAAAAACUUGUUUCUUGAAAUAUUCCAGAAAUUAGUAUGCCAGGACCCUCAAGUUUUUCCCUAUUAUAG